GAAAUGAGCGUAAAAUAAUGCUUCAUAGAAAUUAAAAAUAUGUAAGUGAUCGUAAUUUUAUUUUAAUUUAUCUUAUCUUUACUAAUAAAUUAUACUUUUCGUUCUUUAUUUUGUAUCCCUUCCUUCGCUAACACAACAGA
rnacentral:rRNA from 12 species